AAUAUCUUCUUACCAAAAUAUGCAAGCGUAAGGAGUUAUCUACUGCGCAUGCGCAGCCCUAUCUCCUUAAAUACGCAUAAUUUGUUAAAAGGAUAUUAAGCAGAGUUGUAGCCCUCAUCAAGACGAACAACUUUCGUUAACAUCUUCUUACCAAAAAGUGCAAAGGUAAGGAGAUACGUUCUGCGCAUGCGCAGCCCUAUCUCCUUAAAUACGCAUAAUUUGUUAAAAGGAUAUU
rnacentral:miRNA from 1 species